rnacentral:rRNA from 1 species
UACGUAGGGUGCGAGCGUUGUCCGGAAUUAUUGGGCGUAAAGAGCUCGUAGGCGGUUUGUCGCGUCUGCUGUGAAAACCCGAGGCUCAACCUCGGGCCUGCAGUGGGUACGGGCAGACUAGAGUGCGGUAGGGGAGAUUGGAAUUCCUGGUGUAGCGGUGGAAUGCGCAGAUAUCAGGAGGAACACCGAUGGCGAAGGCAGAUCUCUGGGCCACUACUGACGCUGAGAAGCGAAAGCAUGGGGAGCGAACAGG